AGGGCACCACCAGGAGUGGAGCCUGCGGCUUAAUUUGACUCAACACGGGAAAACUCACCCGGCCCGGACACUGAAAGGAUUGACAGAUUGAGAGCUCUUUCUUGAUUCAGUGGGUGGUGGUGCAUGGCCGUUCUUAGUUGGUGGAGCGAUUUGUCUGGUUAAUUCCGAUAACGAACGAGACUCUAGCCUACUAAAUAGAUCGCCGGUUUACAAACACCGGUGAGACUUCUUAGAGGGACAGGCGGCGAUUCAGCCGCACGAAACAGAGCAAUAACAGGUCUGUGAUGCCCUUAGAUGUCCGGGGCCGCACGCGCGCUACACUGAAGUGAUCAGCGUGCAUUUUAAGCCUACUCUGCCAAGAGUGGGAAACCCAAUGAACCUUCUUCGUGAUUGGGAUAGGGGAUUGUAAUUAUUCCCCUUGAACGAGGAAUUCCCAGUAAGCGCGAGUCAUAAGCUCGCGUUGAUUACGUCCCUGCCCUUUGUACACACCGCCCGUCGCUACUACCGAUUGAAUGUUUU
rnacentral:rRNA from 1 species